UACGUCGGCAGCAGGAGUGAAGCAGGAGGAAGACAGGGACUUUCCUUCGUUUUCUGAGAGCCUGCCUGCCUUGACGGCAUGCGUGAGUGCAGAACCAGCAGUGAAACGGCAGGUGUCCGCAGAUGCGAGAGAGAAGCGUGCAGGACACGAGGCUGCUGCCAC